CUCCGCCGGCGACCGGCGCACGGGUGAGUAACACGUAUGAAACCUGCCCGUAGCAGGGGGAUAAGCGGAAGAAAUUCCGUCUAAUACCGCGUAACAACCCGAGGAGGCAUCUCCUCGGGUUUAAAGGAAGCGAUUCCGGCUACGGAUGGUCAUGCGUCGCAUUAGCUAGUUGGCGGGGUAACGGCCCACCAAGGCGACGAUGCGUAGGGGUUCUGAGAGGAAGGUCCCCCACACUGGUACUGAGACACGGACCAGACUCCUACGGAAGGCAGCAG
rnacentral:rRNA from 1 species